rnacentral:misc_RNA from 1 species
GAUGAAGAACGCAGUGAAAUGCGAUAAGUAGUGUGAAUUGCAGAAUUCAGUGAAUCAUCGAAUCUUUGAACGCACAUUGCGUCCUUUGGUAUUCCAAAGGGCAUGCCUGUUCGAGCGUCAUUUGUACCCUCAAGCUUUGCUUGGUGUUGGGCGUCUUGUCUCUAGCUUUGCUGGAGACUCGCCUUAAAGUAAUUGGCAGCCGGCCUACUGGUUUCGGAGCGCAGCACAAGUCGCACUCUCUAUCAGCAAAGGUCUAGCAUCCAUUAAGCCUUUUUUUCAACUUUUGACCUCGGAUCAGGUAGGGAUACCCGCUGAACUUAAGCAUAUCAAUAAGCGGAGGA